rnacentral:lncRNA from 1 species
AAAGAUUGAUAUAUUGAUUCUCCUUGACUUAUUGAAUGAAGAUUACAUAGUAUGUAUAUAAGAUGUUAGUUGUAUAAUAAGCUAAACUAGGUCUAACAGAGUAUAAUAGCUUGCAUACAAGUAACAACUUUUUUAAAUCAAGAACAAUACAGAUGUCAUUAGCUGUAAUUAAUCUCUUCUAACUAUUAUCAACUAAAUUUGGAGUCUUCUCUUCAUUUGAAUUAAGUUCAUGUAAAGAGGAAAAAGUACCUAAAGAACUUUAUUCGAUGUAUUCCCAUCGAUAAUUUUAUAUUGAUGAAAGUGAUAAGGAAAAUGUUACAUGAACACCAUUUAAUCAUACACCUUAUUGUACACCCCAUGUAUUAAGGACAUUUUGGUAAAUUCAUCUCACAAACAUACUUUCUCUUUCAUCUCCUCUCCCUUUUCCUUGCCACAUGUCAGGAUUUUGUGUGGGUGUAAGAGGUGUAUUGCCACAUGGGGGUGUACAUGUAUCACCACUCGGAAAUAAUGAGUAUUCACACUAGCAUUAUUACCUAAAGUACUCUAUCUAAGAAGAGAUGAACGGUUGACCCGUCAGUGAUGUAUUUCAUUUCCCAACCAUCAUAUGAGGUCUUGAAUACUGAUAGGAUAUUAGAAUAAGGAGCACUAAUAUGGUGACUCAGCUAGUUCUAGAAGUUGUUAUGAGUCAUCUUAGUCUAUAAGGAUUUAGAAGACAUAUUGUUAGGGGAUAAUAUUGAGUAUGUUAGGUGCACUUAUCUUAUUAUGAGUAUGCACAAGUCUAUAUAAGCAUUGUAUGCCUUAUUAUGAGAAUCAAUGAAAAAUAUAAUGAAUUUCUUUUCUUUUAUUUCUAGUUUCUCUCUCUAAUUUCUGGAGUGUGAUCUCUACUCGAAUUGGGUCGUAUCAUCUGUAUCCUUUUUCUUAAUUUUUUGGAAGUUCAUGGUAAGAUUACUUCCAACUUCUAUAUUCCCAUUUCUAGGAAAACUAUUUCCCAUUUAUUUAUAGUACUAUCUAAAAGAUUGAGCUCUCCUAAUUUGUCUUCUCUACUUUGCAUGCUUGCUUAGGUAUAUGAAAUUGGUUUAAAUGUGUCAUUGGUCCCUGCAUUUUCAUCAGAUUUUGGCAUUGGUCCCUGCACUUUUUUUUGUUUGGCAUUGGUCCCUGCACUUUGUAAAAAUAUUGGUAUUGGUCCCUCUGUUAACUUUCUGUUAAAAAAAAAAACACCAAACCAACGGAGUGCCACGUGGCCCAAUCAUUUCUCGCCACGUGGCACCAAUAUCAAUAUUUUUACAAAGUGCAGGGACCAAUACCAAUAUUUUUACAAAGUGCAGGGACCAAUACCAAUAGUUUUGUGUUUUUUUUUUUACAGAAAGUUAAUAGAGGGACCAAUACCAAUAUUUUUACAAAGUGCAGGGACCAAUUCCAAAAAAAAAAAAAUGUAGGGACCAAUGCCAAAAUCUGAUGAAAGUGCAAGGACUAAAGGCAUAUUUAACCCUAUGAAAUUUAGAGGCACAAGUUGUAGAAUAUUUUCCCUACAACUCGAGGUGAUCAAGUGUUGUUCUUCCGCAAUAAUAAUAACAGCAUCUAAUUCUCCACUGUAAAAAGAAAUGCUUCUACUUCUUUGUUAUAAAAUAAAUAAAUUCAUAGCAUCUAAUUCUAUUUUUUAUUUCUUUACUAAAAAAACUAUAUUGUAUCAUUGAAAUUACUAGAGUAUAUUGAUACAACACAAAUUCUAAGUAGCUUAAAAUAGACUAAUGUACGAACUACUUCACAACACCUAGGUUGAUAGUAUAAAACCGCAAAAUACAUGCAUGCAUGUAAGAUGAUAUUUGCCUCGUUUGACUACCAAGUUGUUGUUGACUUGAGUAUCAAGAUGUUACUAAACAUAAAAGAUACAUACUAAAAAUAAAAGAUAUAUACAUAUUUUAAUACAUCCCCAUAGUCGAAAGUGAAGGUUGUCGGAUGUUAAGACAAUGUCGAAAGUCAUCAAAGAGUUGUCUUGGAAGGCCCUUUGUGAAGAUAUCAGCUAUUCGGUAUCGAGAAUGAACAUGCAACACACUAACUUCACCAAGAGUAUCUUUCUCAUGUACAAAAUGAAUAUCCAUCUCAAUAAGCUCAAGUGUGUUUAUGUUGAACGAGAUUAAUUACUUGAGAUAUACACCACUUUUGUUGAGACAUGUUAGUAUUGCUCCAAAAGAAGAUUCCUAAGCCAACACGAUUCAGAUACUACACUAGUGACUCCACAAUGUUCUGCUUCAACACUGAAUUAAGACAAUGUAGGUUGUCGUUUGGCAUAGCAUGAAGAGAUAAGGUUGUCCCCAAGAUAUACACAAUAGCCAUAAUGGAUGAAGACAGACAUAUGUCGUGUUUCUGGAUCAUGCAUAAACAAUCAUACUUGCUGCAUGACGAAAGAGAUAUCGUGUCUUGUGAAAAUCAAGUAAAAUGCAGGGCACUAACAGGACUACGAUAUUCAUUUGGAUCAUGAUAUGGAUGUAUGUUGUGCCAGAAGCGCCACAAUCAUAUUUUAUUAUUUUAUUCAUAAUAUAUUACUGAGAGAAGCCUUGAAAUUGCAGCGUUACAUGUAGAUUACAAAAGGAUAUACUACAUAUAAAAAACCUUGAAUGUGACAUACAUAUAAUACUUGGUACAAAAAAGCGUGCUUUGAGUUAAAUACCCUCCAAUUUAAAGAUCUGUUGAUUCAUAAAGAAAUUACCAUUAUUGUUGCCGGUAAUUACACCUUCAUUGGAAACAACAUUUUCUCCAAUUUAAAGAUGGUUUCUUUCUUCAUCAUUAUUCUCUUUCUUAGAACAGAUUAUACAAGUGAGAGGAUUCAUAAACCCAAUACCUUAAGGUUUUAAGUAAAAAUGCGAUGUUAACCUCACUUAUGUUAUUACAAGAUGCCAUAUUUUAUUUGAAAGAGAGAGAAAAGUUAGACAUGAAGAGAUAAAGACAGAAAAAGAAAGCAUACAUAUGAAAGAUAUGAAGGAGAAUAUUAGAUGCCAUAUUUUUUUAUGAAUUGAACUGGAUACCCUCAUAUAAUUAUCUUGGUGAAGAAUAAGAAUCACACUUGCAAAUAUAUUUCUUAGGAGACAGUGCAAAUAUUUUAUACUCUAUAGUCUAUAGUUAAAAUUUUCCCUUAUAAAUCUAACCUUCCAAACCAGAGAGUCAAGGUAGAUAAAUUUCAAUUUGGGGAGAUUUAUUUAUUUUAUUUUUAUUGCGAAACAAUAUUUCAAGUGUUGGACAUAAUGGCUCUAGUGCAAAUUAACUGAAGAACAUAAUUUUUUUUUUUGUUUUGACAGGAAGAAUAAAAUAUAGUUUCGUUAGAGAAGAGCGUGGGAACGAAUGUAAGCAUCAAACUUGAACACGCAGUUUCAGUAGAGGGGAAGACAUAUACAGUGUCACACUACAUAGAUGGUAAAUCAGUUGGUAUACUCAGGUUAUGGAUAACAUAUCGCGAAGAUGGUCUCGUUAAGGACUUAGAUUUCAUUUUCUACGAACCCGCUAGAUCCAUAUUUACAUUCGUUAUAAAUAAAGCUGAAAACAAUCUUCUUAAUUACUAUCAUGUGUUACCCAUCAAUCAACUUUAUGAAACAAAUUUCAAUAAUGAAACUAGCAACCUUUGGGGAGGGAUUACGAAAACGGAUGUUGCAUACCGUGGUGUUGAAAAUGAGGGAAAUCUUCUUGUGGUGCAACAGAAGAGAAAGCCGGGAGUUGAAAAGCCUUGUGCAAUCAGAGUGGCACACUAUUAUGCUUAUAGUAAACAAUUCUGUUUUAGUCGACAAAAAAGUGAGGCUGGACUUUCAAUAACGGUAGAUAUUAGAGUGUUAAACAAUGAUUUGGAUGUUUCAAUGAAGGAUCCUUAUGAACACCCUUCUUUGGUAUUCCUUCAAAUGUUUGAACAAGUAUCUAGAACAUGGAUUUGGAAGUGGACGGCAUGGUCUCAUUGUGCUGCUCAAACUCAUAUGCAAAAGUUUGAAACUGAGAAUAAUGGUGAAGAAAUGGAAUGGUUUAGGCAAAUCAGAGGAAAUAGUAUUUCCAAUCAAGGUAUGACUAUAGGAAAUCAAAAUGGUAAUUUAGUUUAUCUUAAUAGUUUCAUAUUUAUAUGUUGAUGUUUGCCAACAACCUAGGAUGUCCAUAUUUAGUCUAUGCUUUUGUAAUGUUCAUGUUUGCCAACAACCUAGGAUGUCCAUAUUUAGUCUAUGCUUUUGUAAUAAUAUGCAAUUAUAAAUCUUCUAUAUGUAAUAUACUAUUAUAUUGAGAAUUUAUGCAACACACAAUAAUGUUAUAAACUAUUGAAUGUAUUGUGAGUGUAGCUUUACUUAUGCAAAAAAAAUUCUUAAUUUUAAAGGGUCUCAGUAAAAAAACUUGUUCUAGGCAUUUAAACAUGUUUGGUCGGGCCUAUCUUCAUUCGUCUCUAAUGUCGUAAAUGGAACAUGUGUCUUCUGUCAUCUCAUGUAUCUUGUUUUUAUUCAUGUCUCGCAUCUUAGACUAGUGGAUGUUUGUAAUGAUCCAAGAUAGUCCCAUUAGAUUAGCUUUAAGUCCAAGCUGUUAUAUUAGGUGAUGAGUCAUGCUCUCUAGCUAGAAGGAUCUAGAAAGAUCUUUUAUGAUGAGUCAUUGAUACUCCAUGCUAUAAAUAAGUGUGACUGGUCAUUGUAAUGAUUAUGGAAUGAAUGAAUGAAGAAUUUAGUUUUUAGAUUAGUCUUAGUUAUAGCUUAUUCUCUCUUUUAGUACAAUUUCUCUUCCAUUUAUGAACAGCCCAAAGGUUGUCCAUAACAAUGUUGAAGGAAGAUGAUAGUGUUAUGAGGUUAAAGAAAGAGAGGUGGUUUGAACCGAAUCAUGAAGGGAGAGUGAGAUUGUCGGGUUCGCUGGUGAGAGGGAGAUGGAUUGGGAUCCUGGUGAUGCACAUGAUGGAGAUUUAGAGAGUAUUUGAGCUUUUAGAGUGGUCGUAGAGAGAAAGAAGAUGAGAGGGUCUCAUAGUUUGAUUAUUGUUGAUUUCUACAAGAGAAAAUGUGAAAUAAGAUGUUUUUAGUGUAGUGUUAAUUUAAAAAUGUGUGUAGUUUAAUUUUUUACGAAGAAUUAUAUGGAACGUUCAAGAAUUGUAGAAAUUAAUUACACUCAAGAAAGAAAUGCCACUAGACGAAGACAUAACACUAACACUACAAGAAAAAAGGCUGUUUGCGAAUGUUAAAACGACGGAUUGCGACGGUUCCCUACGGGUGCUGAAAUUGGGGUCGCAGUUUGACAUUGCGACAGUUCUGGGAAAGGUCGUAACAACCAUCAGAGAGUAUUGUGAUGGUUCCUCCUAAGGGUCGCAAAGGAAAAGCUUUCAUUCCUUUUAAAAGGGACUUGCAACAGUCGCAAUUUUUAUUUUUAUUUUGUAUUGAGAAGGCCCGAAUUAAAUUUUUUUUCUUCUAGGUUUUUAUUGGAUACAAUCUGAAAUAAAAGAUAUUAAUCAAAUGGUUGUAGAUUUGUCAUGUUAAUAAUUUCUUUAUUAACAAUUUGGACCAUACAUUAGGUCUAUUGUGGAAGUUGUGGACAGAUAGUGAAAGUAAUAUGACACAAGAGUAAAAACAAAAUAAAAAACUUGCAAUAUAUUAUUUCAUUUUAUCUUAUUGAUUCUCUAAUCAGAAGUAUGUGGUAGAUCAGUAGAUGCCAUGAUUAACUUGUGCACAAUCUAGAUAGGGACGUAUAAAUUUGUGUAAUUAAUCUUUAUUUUAAUUUAUUUUUUGAAAUGCAAAGCAUUAAAGCAACUUCCACAUGAAGCCUAUAGUUAGCAAUUGCUUCCAUUGGGGAUAGGGAUGAGAAUAGGCUAGGCCAAGCAAGGCUUCGUAAGGCCUGAGCUUGACCUGCCAAUUUUUUUGAAGGUCUAAGUCUGGCAUGUGGCCUGUCAUAGACUUACUUUUUAGACCUGAGUUUGGAUUUCUGAAAGUCUGAUACGACAUGUUAUCCUGUUUAAAAGCCUAUUUCAUAUAAACAUAUUUCAAUUUGCAAUGUUAUCUAAGUGUAAAUAGACUAACAAACUAAGAUAUCAAUUAAAUUAAACUCUCUUUUGAUAAUUAACAUGAGUUUUUAAGAAAUUUGAUUAUAUAUUGUAUCAUAUUUCAGUUCUAGUUUAUACUAAUACAUUUAAAUAUGCAAAAAAUUAAUUUAUACUAAUAAGCUUAAAUUACUAAAAAAGUUAACACGUAUUUAUUUUAAUUCAAAGUAUAAAGUAUAAUAUAAUAAUAAAUAAUAUUAUUCAUAUUUACUUAAAUAGGUCGACCUAAUAGGCCUAAGAGGCUUUUUGAAUGGUCUGUGGCCUGAUCCAUUAAGCUAAAUAAGCUUUUAAAAAUGCUCAAGCCUUCUCUAUUUAAGAAAAAAGUCUGGCUUGGCCUGGUCAGGUCUGUCGUAGGCUAGGCCGUAGGCCCCUGUAAGCCAGCCUGACCUAUUCCCAUCCCAAUUUGGGGACAUAUUAUGAAUUCAAUUUAAGAGAGAAAGCUUGUAAUAAACAAGAAAGAUUGAUAUAUUGAUUCUCCUUGACUUAUUGAAUGAAGAUUACGUAGUAUAUAUAAGAUGUUAGUUGUAUAAUAAGCUAAACUAGGUCUAACAUAGUAUAAUAGCUUGCAAUACAAGUAACAGCUUUUUUAAAUCAAGAACAAUACAGAUGUCAUUAGCUGUAAUUAAUCUCCUCUAACUAUUAUCAACUAAAAUUUGGAGUCUUCUCUUCAUUUGAAUUAAGUUCAUGUAAAGAGGAAAAAGUACCUAAAGUACUUUAUUCGAUGUAUUCCCAUUGAUAAUUUUAUAUUCACGAUAGUGAUUAGUAUUCCCAUCGAUAAUUUUAUAUUCAUGAAAGUGGUAAUGAGUAUUCACACUAGCAUUAUUAUCUCCCCAAAAUACAUUUUGAUUGUUAUUUACAACAGCUACUCUGUUAUUUACACUCCCAGUGUCAGAAUCAUGCUCAUGAGUAGUCUCAAAACCCUUCCAAAUCCCUGUUCUAGCAACUUCUUUAAUCAUACGAAGCAAUGUUGAAGAAGGGUGAUGAACAGGACCCACCACUGAUAAAACUAAAACGUUAUUUGAUACUGAAAUAUCUACAACCAUUGAAAGUCCAAUAUCUAUUUUAUUUCGACUACGAUAAUCUUCCCUGGGAACAGCAUAAUAGUGUUUCACAGUAACUUUGUAAGGAUUCAUAUCUAUAUGCGUGCUAUUCUCUUCAACGACAAUAAGACCCCUACCUCCUCCAUGAAAGAAAAUAGACGUCUUUGUAACGAAUCCACGACUAUCAUGUUUCUCAGUUUGAAUCAUUGUAUUUGUAUCAGAAACUUGUCUUAUAGAUUCGAAGUCAAUUUUGUUGAGUAGAUCAUUUUCAGCUUUAUCUAUAAAGAAAAUGAUAAGUUCACUUCUGUACCUUCUAUCAAAAAAUUGGAGUCUUAAACCUUGAACCCUACCAUCUCUAUCAAAUUCUCUAUUUAAGAGGAGAUUAACAAAAGAGCUUUCAAUGAUGUAUUUCACUUGCCAACACUCCCUAUGUCCACUAGACUUUUCCUCUCUUCUAUUGAAAUUCAUGAUAAGAUUACUUCCAAAUUUGAUAUUCCCAUUACUAGGAAAACUAUUUCCCAUUUACAGAUCGUUGGGUACAACUAAAAAACGCCUACAUCGGUAAAACUAAGAAAUAAAAAAGUAUGCAUAAACAUUGUAGACAUCUCACCUUCUAUGUUUGAACUCUAACUAACAUUGUACACAGCCGCUCCAAAUGGAAAAUUCAGAAAGAAAGAUAGUACUAUCGAAUAAAUUGAGCUCUGGUACUUUUGUCUUCUUUGCUUCUUUGCUUGCCAAGGUAUGGGAAAUUUAUAGCGGGACAAGUUGUAGAAUAUAUUCCCUACAACUCGAGGUGAUCGAUCAAGU